rnacentral:rRNA from 1 species
UCGCAAUGCCCGAAAGGGUGACGAAGCGACGCCGCGUGAGUGAGGAAGGCCUUCGGGUUGUAAAGCUCUGUCAGGAGUUAAGAAAUGUAAGUGUGCUAAUACCACAUUUAUUUGACGAAGGCUCCAAAGGAAGCCACGGCUAACUCUGUGCCAGCAGCCGCGGCAAUACAGAGGUGGCAAGCGUUGUUCGGAAUUAUUGGGCGUAAAGAGCACGUAGGUGGGUUUGUAAGUCAGAUGUGAAAGCCUUCUGUUCAACGGAAGAAUUGCAUCUGAAACUGCGAGUCUUGAGUGUAGGAGGGGAGAAUGGAACUUCUGGUGGAGCGGUGAAAUGCGUAGAUAUCAGAAGGAACGCCGGCGGCGAAAGCGAUUCUCUGGCCUAUUACUGACGCUCAGUGUGCGAAAGCUAGGGGAGCAAACGGGAUUAGAUACCCCGGUAGUCCUAGCCGUAAACGAUGGGCACUAAGUAGAGGGAAUUACCGAUGUUCUCUCUGCCGUAGCUAACGCAUUAAGUGCCCCGCCUGGGGAGUACGGCCGCAAGGCUAAAACUCAAAAGAAUUGACGGGGGCUCGCACAAGCGGUGGAGCAUGUGGCUUAAUUCGAUGCAACGCGAAGAACCUUACCGGGGCUUGACAUGGUAGAAGUAGGAACCCGAAAGGGUAACGAACGGUAUCCAGUCCGUAACUAUCACAGGUGUUGCAUGGCUGUCGUCAGCUCGUGUCGUGAGACGUUGGGUUAAGUCCCCUAACGAGCGAAACCCUUGUUUUUAGUUACCAGCGGGUUGUGCCGGGUACUCUAGAAAGACUGCCGUCGUCAAGACGGAGGAAGGUGGGGAUGACGUCAAGUCAUCAUGGCCCUUAUGCCCCGGGCUGCACACGUGCUACAAUGGU